rnacentral:rRNA from 1 species
CCUACGGGGUGCAGCAGUGGGGAAUAUUGCACAAUGGGGGAAACCCUGAUGCAGCGACGCCGCGUGAAGGACGAAGUAUUUCGGUACGUAAACUUCUAUCAGCCGGGAAGCAAAUGACGGUACCUGACCAAGCCGCCCCGGCUACCUACGUGCCAGCAGCCGCGGUACUACGUAGGGGGCAAGCGUUAUCCGGAUUUACUGGGUGUAAAGGGAGCGUAGACGGCCAUGCAAGUCUGCUGUGAAAACCCGGGGCUCAACCCCGGGACUGCAUUGGAAACUGUGCGGCUGGAGGGGCGGAGAGGGAAGUGGAAUUCCUAGUGGAGCGGUGAAAUGCGUAGAUAUUAGGAGGAACACCAGUGGCGAAGGCGGCUUGCUGGACGACGACUGACGUUGAGGCUCGAAAGCGUGGGGAGCAAACAGGAUUAGAUACCCUAGUAGUUC